AACUCCCCUUUCCACUCUCUCUGCUAAUCACCGGCAGUCCCCCUGCUCAGAUGUUGCCCCCUGGCAUACUCACCUGCUCCUUCACUUAGCAGGAGAGAUCAAGUCUCUACCGCUUUAGUCUAUAAAUAGUCACAGGUGCCCACUGCCUACUACACAGCAGGGCUAAGUGCUAAGGAAGCAUGAGUCAGAGAAAUGGACGUGGUCUUUGUACCUUCAAGCUUAGCUUUGUGGAGAACAGAGAUGUCACUCAAAGAAUCACACUGAUAUGGCCUUUUCAAAUUGUUCUGUUUCCUUCGGUUCCCGGUUCUGCAUAGCCUGGCUCCUCCACCUGACAGUUGGUUUCUUUCGGGUCUGAGCGGCUCUUGCCUGGACAUUGCAGCAGCCUCAUCCCCUUGCCUCCGGAUUUGCCCUGUCCCACAAUGCCACUGGAGUGGGCUACCCAGAAUGCGAAGUCGAUCACAUCGCUGCCCUCCUCUAGACGUUUCCAUAGCUCCUUAUUUCCUGCAAGACCAAGUCCAAAGGGCUCAGCCUGGCAUAUCGGCCCCAGUGUCCCGGCUCUUACCGAUCCCCCAUCCUUGCCUCCUGUCGCCUCCAGCCUCUUACCAAGCUGCUGUUUACCAUCUCUUCCUCCAAAGUAAAUAAAAACAA